rnacentral:rRNA from 1 species
AUGCUCAUGUUGCGGGCCGCCACCGCCAGGGCGGCGUCGACGGUCGUCGCCGGCGCCAGGAGGAGACCCGGCCUCCUGCCUGUCGCUGUCGCCGGUCUCUCGUCCUCCUCAUCAGGACCACCAUCGGGCGGGAAGAGGAGGAAGGGCCAGCGGCGGGGCGAGGCCAAGCCCCAGCCCCAGCCCUUGCCUGGGCACUCCGAGAUCCCCAGCAACAAGAAGGCCAACGCGAGGCCGGCCAAGGACAGGAGGAAGGUUCGCCCAGCGGAAGAGGCGCCGCAAGGGCCGUCGGGCCAGGGCCAGGAGAUUGAGUUGAGGAAGCAGCCGCCGGAGAAGCCGAAGCGGGUGGUGCGGUGGCGCUGCGCGACGGGGUGCGGCGCGUGCUGCAAGCUGGACAAGGGCCCCGAGUUCCCCACCCCCGACGAGGUCUUCGCCGACUUCCCCGACCACCUCCAGCUGUACAAGAGCAUGAUUGGUCCCGAUGGAUGGUGCAACAACUACGACAAGUCCAAUCGAACCUGCAACAUCUACGAAGACCGGCCAUUCUUCUGCAGGGUCGAACCGAAGGUUUUCGAAGAGUUCUUUGGCGUGCCACGCAGCAAGUUCGACAGGGAAGCCUGCAGUGCUUGCGUGGAUAACAUCAAGAUGGUGUAUGGCCAGGACUCUCCUGAGCUUGGAAACUUCAAGCGGGUCAUAAGGGAGGAAAGUAGUAAGCAUGAAGCAAGCAUGAACGAGGUUAAAUUGUUGGAUACCACAAAUACUACUGGUACCUGA